AGAGUUUGAUCGUGGCUCAGAAUCAACGCUGGCGGCGUGCCUAACACAUGCAAGUCGAACGCGAAAGGGGCUUCGGCCCUGAGUAGAGUGGCGAACGGGUGAGUAACACGUGGGUGAUCUACCUUCGAGUGGGGGAUAACGUCCCGAAAGGGACGCUAAUACCGCAUGACGUUCCGGGUUUGAAGACCUGGAAACCAAAGCCGGGGACCGCAAGGCCUGGCGCUUGAAGAGGAGCCCGCGUCCGAUUAGCUAGUUGGCGGGGUAAUGGCCCACCAAGGCGACGAUCGGUAGCCGGCCUGAGAGGGCGGACGGCCACACUGGAACUGAGACACGGUCCAGACUCCUACGGGAGGCAGCAGUGGGGAAUUGUUCACAAUGGGCGCAAGCCUGAUGACGCAACGCCGCGUGGGGGAUGAAGGUCUUCGGAUUGUAAACCCCUGUCGAAUGGGACGAAUGGCCUCUGGGCUAAUCACCAGAGGAAUGACGGUACCGUUAAAGGAAGCCACGGCUAACUCUGUGCCAGCAGCCGCCGUAAU
rnacentral:rRNA from 1 species